AAGAUGCGGACUCUCCUUGGCUUUGUGCAUUGCUGCUGCUGCUGUUUCUUGCUCCUCCUGCCUCCGCCGCUCUGGGUCAGGCUGGCAGCGGCCAAGCAGCUCCUGAGGUACCGCUUGGCCGAGGAAGGACCCGCCGACAUCCGCAUCGGUAACGUGGCUUCCGAUUUGGGCAUCGUGACGGGCUCGGGAGAGGUGACAUUCAGCCUGGAAUCGGGCUCGGACUAUCUCAAAAUCGAUAACAUGACCGGGGAGCUGAGCACCACGGAGCGGCGCAUCGACCGCGAGAAGCUGCCGCAGUGCCAGAUGAUCUUCGACGAGAACGAGUGCUUCUUGGACUUCGAGGUGUCGGUCAUCGGCCCCUCGCAGAGCUGGGUGGACCUUUUCGAAGGCCGGGUCAUCAUCUUGGACAUCAACGACAACACCCCCACUUUCCCUUCCCCCGUCCUUACCUUGACGGUGGAGGAGAACCGGCCCGUGGGGACCCUCUACCUCCUCCCCACCGCCACCGACAGGGACUUCGGCCGCAACGGCAUCGAGCGCUACGAGCUGCUGCAGGAGCCCGGCGGGGACGGCGGCCGCCGCGCUGGGGGAGGAGGAGGAGGAGGAGGCGGCGGCGGCGUCGGGGGGGGAGGCUCGGCCUCGGCGGCCUCCGAGAGCGCCAUCUACCCCGGCGGCAGCAAGAGGCGGCAGGAGGCGGCGGACUCUGCGGCCCGGAGCAGCGUCUUCGAGCUGCAGGUGGCCGACACCCUCGACGGGGAGAAGCAGCCCCAGUUGAUCGUCAAAGGAGCCCUGGACCGGGAGCAGCGGGAUUCCUACGAGCUCAGCCUCCGCGUGAGGGAUGGCGGCGACCCGGCCCGCUCCUCGCAGGCCAUCCUGAGGGUCCUCAUCACCGACGUCAACGACAACAGCCCCCGCUUCGAGAAGAGCGUCUACGAGGCCGACCUGGCGGAGAACAGCAGCCCCGGCACCCCCAUCUUGCAGCUUCGAGCCACCGACCUGGACGUGGGGGUCAACGGGCAGAUCGAGUACGUCUUCGGGGCGGCCACCGAGUCCGUCAGGCGCCUGUUGCGGUUGGACGAGACCUCCGGUUGGCUCAGCGUCUUGCACCGCAUCGACCGGGAGGAGGUCAACCAGCUUCGCUUCACCGUCAUGGCCCGAGAUCGGGGCCAACCCCCCAAAACCGACAAGGCCACGGUCGUGUUGAACAUCCGUGACGAGAAUGACAACGUGCCCACCAUCGACAUCCGGAAAAUCGGGCGCAUCCCGCUACGGGACGGGGUGGCCAGCGUGGCCGAGGAUGUGCUGGUGGAUACCCCCAUCGCCCUGGUGCAGGUGUCGGACCGGGACCAAGGUGAAAAUGGCGUGGUGACCUGCACCGUGGUGGGUGACGUGCCCUUCCAGCUCAAGCCGGCCAGUGAGGGAGAAGGGGAACCCCAGAACAAACGCAAGUAUUUCCUCCACACCUCGGCCCCCCUGGACUAUGAGGCUGUCCGUGACUACAACGUGGUGAUUGUGGCUGUGGACUCGGGCAGCCCCAGUUUGUCCAGCAACAAUUCCUUGCUGGUUCGUGUUGGGGACACUAAUGACAACCCUCCUGUGUUCAGUCAGGCUGUGCUGGAGGUCUCCUUCCCGGAGAACAACUUGCCUGGUGAGAGGGUGGCCACGGUGGUCGCCACAGAUGCAGACAGUGGGAAGAACGCUGAGAUCACCUACUCCUUGGAGGCCUCACCCCUCUCCUCGGAAGCACCAGGUGGCAUCUUCACCAUCGACCCUGACUCUGGGGAUGUGUCAGUGCAGGCGGUGCUGGACCGUGAGCAACGUGACACUUAUGAGUUCCAGGUGACAGCCCGGGACAAGGGGGUGCCAUCACUGCAGGGCUCCACCACAGUGGUGGUGCGGGUGGCAGAUCGCAAUGACAACGAGCCACGCUUCAUGCAGGAUGUGUUCACUUUCUACGUGAAGGAGAACCUGCAGCCCAACAGCCCCGUGGGCAUGGUGACUGUGAUGGACUUUGACAAGGGUCGCAACGCUGAGCUCAGCCUCUCCAUCCAGCCCGGUGACCACGACCAGGCAACUGGUAUCUUCUCCAUCGAGAAUGACACCGGAACCAUUUUCUCCACCGUGUCUUUCGACCGGGAGCAGCAGACCAGCUACACUUUUAAGGUAAAGGCAGUGGAUGGAGGUGAGCCACCACGAUCUGCCACCGCCACUGUGUCCCUCUUCGUGAUGGACGAGAAUGACAAUGCCCCCACGGUCACCUUCCCCAGCAACAGCUCCUACACCGUGCUGCCACCUUCCAGCAACAUGCGCACUGUGGUGGCCACAGUGGUUGCCACUGAUGCUGACACUGGUCUCAAUGCUGAUCUCAACUACAGCAUCGUUGGGGGCAACCCCUUCAAACUCUUCGAGAUCGACCCGGCCAGUGGUGUGGUGUCACUUGUGGGCAAGCUGGCCCCCAAGCACUACGGCCUGCACCGCCUCGUGGUGCAGGUGAACGACAGCGGGCAGCCACCCCAGUCCACCACCGCCCUGCUCCACGUCUUCGUCAACGAGAGCCUGUCCAAUGCCACCGUGGUGGAGAGCCAGGUGGCCCGCAGCCUCCACACUCCCCUGGCCCAGGACAUUGCUGGUGACCCCAGCUAUGAGCUGAGCAAGCAGCGGCUUAGCAUAGUCAUUGGCGUGGUGGCUGGCAUCAUGACCGUCAUCCUCCUCAUCCUGGUGGUGGUCAUGGCCCGCUACUGCCGCUCCAAGAGCAAACACGGCUACGAGGCCGGCAAGAAGGACCACGAGGAUUUCUUCACCCCGCAGCAACACGACAAGGCCAAGAAGCCCAAGAAGGACAAGAAAGGCAAGAAGGGCAAGCAGCCCCUCUACAGCAGCAUCGUCACCGUUGAGGCUUCCAAGCCCAACGGGCAACGCUACGACAGCGUCAACGAGAAGCUUUCGGACAGCCCCGGGAUGGGGAGGUACCGCUCGGUCAACGGUGGUCCUGGCAGCCCUGACUUGGCCAGGCAUUACAAGUCCAGCUCGCCUCUCCCCACCGUCCAGCUGCACCCCCAGUCCCCCACUGCUGGCAAAAAACACCAGGCCGUGCAGGACCUGCCCCCGGCCAACACCUUCGUGGGCGCCGGUGACAACAUCUCCAUCGGGUCGGACCACUGCUCCGAGUACAGCUGCCAGGCCAGCAGCAAGUACAGCAAGCAGCCGUUUCGUAGAGUGACGUUUUCUGUUGUGAGUCAGCCUCAGGACCCGCAUCAAGGGUCAUUGCAGAGUUGCUAUGACAGCGGUCUGGAGGAGUCAGAAACACCAAGCAGUAAGAGUUCAUCAGGGCCAAGACUGGGUGCCCUUCCACUCCCAGAGGACAACUACGAAAGGACUACGCCGGAUGGCAGUGUUGGUGAGGCAGAGCAUAUGGAAAAUGAUUCAAGGCCUCUACCAGAUGUAGCCCUGACGGGGAAGUGUACCCGAGAAUGUGAUGAAUAUGGCCACUCAGACUCCUGCUGGAUGCCAGUUCGCACUUCUCCGGAGAGAAAGCAGAAGAGCCAGCCAAAACUCUCCACUUUCAUGCCUGUCGAUGAACGGGGCAGUCAGGAAAAACUGGCCAAUGGAGAAGCCUCCCUCAUGGGUGAUCGCAACAGAAACCUCCUUAACAAAAAGUUGACCUCAUCCUAUGAGACCUUCAGCGCGGCGAGUUUCAGCAAAAACGAAGAAGGCAACCCAGAGGAUAUCCCCCUUACACAGACAGGGGAAUACAAGCCAUCUCCUGUCAAUACUCUAACUAGAAGAGAAGUUUACCUGUAGGCUAAAAAAGCAGCAACAAAGUUCUUUGUGUGUUACAAGAAAGAAAAGGGGCAAAAUUCUGAAAAUCAAAACAAUUUGAACAAAAAUGAGAAACAAAAAAAGAAAAAAAAAGAGGGGGCCACCAAAGAGACAAAAGAUCUGCCUGCCACUUCUGCCUCCAUAGCAGGCAUUUAAUUCUACUGUCUGCCUGACUAUACUGUACAAUGUAGAAAACAUUGUUGUUACUUGCAUGUCUAAUUCCCCCUCACUGAUUUUUAUUUUCCUAAAUCUACGGUUGCAAAUUCCUCCCAUAGUAACGAGCUCGAUUAAAAAGAACACAACACACUGUUGUUUCCCCUCUGCAAAAGCAUGAGUUAAGCCACUCAUUUUGUUUGAUUGUCAUCUGGCUUGUUGAGGAUAACAGGUCAGGGAAAAAAACGUAUUCCAAACAUAUCAUCUGAAUAUUGCUGAUCCCCACCAGGGACAAUCCUUCAGAAACCAUACAGACAUAGAGCUAAAUAUAAAGGAAUAACCAUUAAUAGGCACUUUGUGAAGACCACAGCUUUAAUAUUCUCACCUCUCAUCUGAGGCUGGAAGCAACAGAAAUCUGUUCAGCCUGAGACUGCAGUCAAACCCAUGGCAUAUUUUCCUACGAUUCAUGAACUCUGGUUCUGUUUUAUCCAUAGAACAAGCGUGUUCUUGCUGUGUCUCUUUCUCUCCUCCUCUUUCAUUCUCUGUAACGGUUACUUCAACGUAAACACAACUAGUUUAUAACGCAUAUACUGUAGGAUAGUAAUGAUAAACUCUUAAAGUCAUUAUUUUGGGCGAGACUAACCUCUAGCUGGGAAGAUGGUAAUAACAAAAAGGCCAAAGAUCACACAAUGGAUCAGGGGAACUGCUAAGUAUUGGGGCUCGGCUUAGAAAACUAAUGUAUUUACAGACACCCGUGUACUCAUAACACCCCUUCAGUUACAUUUUGCACAGCAGCACAGUUCACGAGCCCAGAUGACACAAUUUUUUUUCUUUUCCCAUGUGGUUCAGUUGAAUGCCCAAAGGAACUGAUGUGAGGUGGGUUGUUUGGUUUGUUUGGGGUUUUUUUUGUAACGCCAUGAUAUGUUGCAGCAGGUGCUGCGUAUGAUAUGCUGCAUAUGCCAGUUCCAGGGAAUAUUUAAGAUCAAAAUGAAAACCCAGUAGUGGUAAUAGAAGGCUGUGUUAAUGACAGUGCUGGGGGGGAUGGAACAGGUGGGCAAUGGGAUGAUGUGGUGACAAGAGAAUAUUAAAAGUCAAACGCAAAACCUCCAUUUCAGAGUGCAAGGAAUGAGUGCUAAGGUUUUUUUUUGUCAUUGGUUACCAGUUGCUUCAACUAUGUCAAAGAUAUAAUGCAGGUUUUUCUUGAAACACAAGUGCAUUAAAACCAAGAGAAGUGCAAUACUAAAUGAUGUGAAGACUUGGAACUUUUAGGCUAUGUAGGAAAUGGUCUGAUAAACAGUGGUAUGAUACUCACCGAGCAGAUCAAAAUGAGUCAAAAGGAGUCCAAGCUGCCACGAUCCGCAAGAGCUCUGGGCUAUAACAGUCCUCACGGUGAGUGCUUCUUGAAAGGAAGAGGAAAGGAAACAGGUUUUUUGUGCAAUAAAAGCAACAAAACGGGCAGAAAUUCAACCAGUUGCUUUGUAGCUGACGCUGUAGUAAUAAAGACAGACCGAGCUCAGACAUUCAGAUGGAAAUGACAAUCGAACGACACAGCAAGGACAGCUCGAGGAAAGGGGGGAGUAUUUGAAUCCCUGGCUCUUUAACCUGGCAUUAGGGCAUGGCUAGAUGGCUCUCUAGAAUAUCGUAGUCACAACGUAGCUUUGGGUAGUUUACUGCUUUGAAGAAUUGCAUAGAAAUAACCUUAAAAGGCCUAAAGUAGAGGUUGGUAAAUCAAUACAACUCAUCACAUUUACCUUUUGAGUUACCUUUUCUUCCUGUGGUGGGGUGUGCCGUCAUGGGCCAUCUCGUUCUCCUCUCUCGGGUUUCCUUUCUUUAAGUAACAUUAGUUUGUGUAUAGCAGUUAUGACGAAUGGGCACACUUUUAGAAAGAAAAUAUUAAAAUCAAAGGUUAAUAACGAUUGAACAUUUUUAUGUUUGAUUAUUUAAGUAUAUGGAGAGAUGCAAACUAGUACUUUGUUACAAGACUGCGUACAGCAGUUACUGCUUUGUAUAAUCUGUAAGUACCUGUUUAAAGAUGCUUCUAAAAAUGCUUAUGUAAUGUAUACACAUUUUUCUUGCACGUUUCAACAGAAUACACAAUUGCAUAACACAAAUGUUCAACAGAAAUGUUCCUUUAAUAAGAUUUUAUUUAAUAUUACACAUACAAAAAAAAUAAAUUAGGUAGCUUGGUUCCAUAUAUUCUUAGACCCUUUUUCUAGAAGGUUAAUAAUACAGGUCAUAGAAGACCUUCGGAUUAAAUGGAUCAGCAGUCACUCACCAAUUUUUGCACCACAUAAGACAGUCAUUAAAUACUUUACUCGUGUGCAUCUCCUUAGAUCUAAGAUGGGUGUGAAAGAGGUUUUUUUUUUAAAAAAAAAAUAAAAAAUUCUAUCUACUGUAAGUAUUCACAGUAAUUCUAGUGGAACGAGCCACUAUUAAUAUGCUGAUUACUCUUCUGACCUGGCAUGACACACAAAUAUACUUUGUGUUUGUAUUUUUCCUCUUUAUUUGAAAUAGGUUAAAACUGGUGCCACUCCAUAAAUAGAGUGCUUUUGUAUAAAAAUAAAGAAAUAAAACUAUAAAAAAUAAUUAGGGUGAAUGCGAAAUAUGCAACUGUGCCUUUUAUACCUAUUAUUAUGGUAAAGUGGUAGUUGGGUUUGGACACUGAGGGAUAAGGGGCUAUUCCCAACUUUUUUGAACCUGUAUAUUUACUUGUGUUUAUUUUCUGAGAAAUUAUAAAUAAUAUAUUUAAAAACAAGCCUUUUGCCAAACUCAGUUAAUGGACCAGUCUUAAGCAUUAUUAACACAAGGCUGUGGUUUAAGUAGGUCUUGAGGAUUUUUUUUUAUUACUAUUUGUGUGGGAUUUGGGGUUGUUUUCACUUGUUUUUAUUUCUGCUGCCUGGAAAACUACGAUCAGUCUAUAUUAUAGUUAUUUAGCAAGGUGUCACCAGUUCAUGUUGCCAGGAAAAUUGUCAAUUAAUUUUCUUUUUUAAUUGCUUUUAGCCGUCAUCACAUUUCAGUUGUACAGCAUAGAAAUCAUCCUUUUAUUUCCUUCCAUGGGAAACUCAAAUGAGCUUUGCAUGUAUUUUACAUUAGGGCACCUUUAUAGAUUGAUGCGUUAAUAUAUAACUUUAUAUGUAUUAGAAAAUUCAAUAGCUUUGGUCUAAAAAUCUAAUGCUCAUUCUGGAUCUCAGAUCCACUAUGUUUAUUCAAUAUGGUUUCUGACUGGCCUGCUGCCUGAGUUUCAGGAGAAAAAAAAAAAAAAAGUUAAACCUUAUUUUUAUGUGGGGGAAGAACUUAAAUGGGAUUGAAAUGAUUGGCUGAAAGGCUACCCAAGGAGGUUGUCAAGCAGGAAAACAAAGAAUACGGAUAAAGACCUUGCUGUAAAUCCAGCCAUCACCAAACAUUUGUCAGGAACUUGAACAACGAAAUAUUUUUCCCUUCUGUUUCAUUGGUGAUAAAUAUACAGUGUUUCCUUAAGGAAUGAAGCAGACGAAAUAGCAAUAGAGCUGGAAGUCCAUCAGUUCAGUUGUGUUACUGACUGAAGAAGAGCAUAAAACACAAGGAAGACGACAACACUCACCAGCUACCUGGGUAUGCUUUCAGACAACUUUUUCCUAAAUUUUAAAGCACUUGCAUUCAGUGUGGUACGAUCUGUUUGUAAUAUUAAUCAUUGACUAUUGUUCUGCAACUUGGAUGUUGAUAGUGAAGCAGAGAACAAUUUAUCAUUGUUUAUUAUGAGUCACUAUGCACGCAACUAUGCUAAACAUGGCAAAAUGUAUUAAACGCUAGUCCACCUCUAUUUAUGAAAUAUUUACAUAAUUUAAUUUGCUUUUGUACAGUUUUAUGUAAAUAAAUUGCUUGUCAUUUUUGUCUGCAAAUUAAAAUAUAACAUGUUCAACUGGU